UACGUAGGGUCCGAGCGUUGUCCGGAAUUACUGGGCGUAAAGAGCUCGUAGGCGGUUUGUUGCGGCGGCUGUGAAAUCCCGAGGCUCAACCUCGGGUCUGCAGUCGAUACGAGCAAACUAGAGUGUUGCAGGGGGAGACUGGAAUUCCUGGUGUAGCGGUAGAAAUGCGCAGAUAUCAGGAGGAACACCGGUGGCGAAGGCGGAUC
rnacentral:rRNA from 1 species